rnacentral:rRNA from 1 species
ACCCUGUGUGGAUGACGGUACCGGAAUAAGAAGCACCGGCUAACUACGUGCCAGCAGCCGCGGUAAUACGUAGGGUGCGAGCGUUAAUCGGAAUUACUGGGCGUAAAGCGUGCGCAGGCGGUUUGGUAAGUCAGAUGUGAAAUCCCCGGGCUCAACCUGGGAACUGCAUUUGAGACUGCCAAGCUGGAGUUUGGCAGAGGGGGGGUGGAAUUCCACGUGUAGCAGUGAAAUGCGUAGAGAUGUGGAGGAACACCGAUGGCGAAGGCAGCCCCCUGGGCCAAUACUGACGCUCAUGCACGAAAGCGUGGGGAGCAAACAGGAUUAGAUACCCUGGUAGUCCACGCCCUAAACGAUGUCAACUAGGUGUUGGGAGGGUUAAACCUUUUAGUGCCGUAGCUAACGCGUGAAGUUGACCGCCUGGGGAGUACGGCCGCAAGGCUAAAACUCAAAGGAAUUGACGGGGACCCGCACAAGCGGUGGAUGAUGUGGAUUAAUUCGAUGCAACGCGAAAACCUUACCUACCUUGACAUGUCAGGAAUCCG